rnacentral:rRNA from 1 species
AACGAACGCUGGCGGCAUGCCUAACACAUGCAAGUCGAACGAGACCUUCGGGUCUAGUGGCGCACGGGUGCGUAACACGUGGGAAUCUGCCCUUGGGUUCGGAAUAACAGUUAGAAAUGACUGCUAAUACCGGAUGAUGUCUUCGGACCAAAGAUUUAUCGCCCAAGGAUGAGCCCGCGUAAGAUUAGCUAGUUGGUGAGGUAAUGGCUCACCAAGGCGACGAUCUAGCUGGUCUGAGAGGAUGAUCAGCCACACUGGGACUGAGACACGGCCCAGACUCCUACGGGAGGCAGCAGUGGGGAAUAUUGGACAAUGGGCGAAAGCCUGAUCCAGCAAUGCCGCGUGAGUGAUGAAGGCCUUAGGGUUGUAAAGCUCUUUUACCAGGGAUGAUAAUGACAGUACCUGGAGAAUAA